rnacentral:rRNA from 1 species
GAUGAACGCUAGCUACAGGCUUAACACAUGCAAGUCGAGGGGCAGCAUGGUCUUAGCUUGCUAAGGCCGAUGGCGACCGGCGCACGGGUGAGUAACGCGUAUCCAACCUGCCUUACACUCUUGGACAGCCUUCUGAAAGGGAGAUUAAUACAAGAUGUUAUCAUGAGUAAGCAUUUUCGCAUGAUUAAAGGUUUACCGGUGUAAGAUGGGGAUGCGUUCCAUUAGGCAGUUGGCGGGGUAACGGCCCACCAAACCGACGAUGGAUAGGGGUUCUGAGAGGAACGGUCCCCCACAUUGGUACUGAGACACGGACCAA